AUUUCUGCUCUUAAACCAUUAAAAACGCAGUACCAUGAUCUCCUCCUUCUCUUUCGUCAACGGUGCUAAGAUAGCUUCAAAUUUUCGCUGGUAAUCUUCCACUGUGCCCAGCUGCUUGAUUCCCAUGAGAGCUUCAUACAGGCUUCCUUUCUGUGACCACAUGAAAUGAUGAAGGAGUGCCAACUUGAAGGCUGACCAAGAUGUUAUCGGAGCUCUGGCCUCCAUCCACUGAUACCAAUUGACGGCAUUGUCGUCAUGCACACUGCUGUCGUGAGCUUCUCUUGGUGAUGAAAUUUGUUAAUAGCAAAAAACCUUUUUGCUCUAAAUAUCCACCCAUAAGGAUCUUCAUCGAGAAGAUGGGUAACUCGAGUUUCUGGCCACCCAGCUCGUUUCGAAUCUGUCUGCCACUGUUGAAGUCUCUCCUUCAGUCCGAUGACCCAUAUUUUGACCUUGACCAUUUUCCGAUGACCUUGGCGUUUUCGGGUGAACUUUCUCUUUCUCUCGUUCCCAUGUCUUCUUCAUCCUUUCUUCUCAUCCACGUUUGUAUUUCAACCAUACACCCACGAACGGUUUCCAUGUCAACUCCUAAUUUCGUCACCUCUUUUUCCAUGUUUUCCAAUCUUGACUCCAUUCUCAUCCCAACCAUUACCCAGAUAACCUGCUCUGAUACCAAUUGAUGUGUAUCACUCCCAAGCCAACCAACCACAACAGAGAUAACAAACAAGCAAUCGAAUUAAACCCAGAAAGCAACAAGAAUCAGUAGCCAAAAUCCAAAAACACUAGCUCAUAUAUUGAUAUUCCAGCAACACAAAAUACAUAGCAACAAGGAACUUAACAAAACUAGCCAAAACAGGAAAUCAAAUAAACCAUAAACCAAAACAAGAAAUAAAAAAUAAUGUUGGUUUUUGAGGGCCAACUCCUCCCACAUGGUUCUAGACUUUGAGGGCCAGCAACCUCCCACUCUCCACAUUUUUAUUUUUGAAUCCUCCAUAUCCCACUGUCUCCCCUUUUAUUCUAUUCCUCAUAACAAAAUUCUUCAAUCAUCCACUCCUUUAAUGUCAUCUAUCCCUCCCUAAACCAUCCUUAACACCUCACACACAAAGAACCUUCUUGGCUACUGCACCAAAAUCCCUUACUUCAUACCUUUAAGUCUCUUACAAUAGACCAACAUUAGGAGUGGGUCUCAUCAGCACCACAUCGAUCAAUAUGCAUAGUCAUCUCCUAAUAUGCAUGGUGCGCCAAGUCGAUUGAUAUGCAUAGUCAUCUCUUGAUAUGCAUAGUCAUCUUGAUAUUGAUCGAUACCACUUGGUAUGGUACAAUUUUCCAGUAUGCAGAUUCAUUCCAGGCUGAAGAAUUUAGAUUGCUGGAAUGAACAGGUUUAAUUUCACGUUACAAGUCGAUAACUCAUUACCUUGUGAAGAAAGAUGUGUCAUUGUUUCAAGUUCUCCAAACGACUACAAAAUUACUUAUUUGAAAGCAUUCUGCAGGGAUCCAAUAUAUUCAGCCUCCUGAACACACGGACUCUGAGUCGCCAAUGUCUUUUGGGAUAACUGCACUUGUUUCUUCCCUAGUUAUCUUCAUGCUUGUAGCUGAUGAGGCAACGGUUUCUUCUUCAUAUAGAAAGAUUGCUUUUCUCUUCCUCCUACUUAGUUGCCAUUUUUUCAAUUAUUCGGAAAUAUACAUUUCAUAUCCACCUUAUCUGGGGUUUUUCUGAGUACUCUGGUGUUGAAUCUCUCUCAAUACUCUCAUUGCUGUGAUCUCCAAAACUGGGUGCUAUCAUUGGAAAUUAGAGCCAUCUACAGCAGAAAAUGAGAGCGAUAACAAGAAUAAUGAACACAUCUAUGGACUACCAAACAUAAAGGAGAUUCAUGUAAGAAAUUGUAAAGAAAGAUUCUGGUAAAACAGAGCAUGGAAUGGUAGAACAAAGAGAUCAAAUGCAGUGUUCAGAAAAAGCAGACAAGCUGAAGAGGAAAUGGGAUUUUCUUAAAAGGUGGGGAAUUUCAGUCUGCAAGGUGGCAGACCGACAGUCAGUUAGCAUAGGAGCUCGACACAGUUAUAGGCGAAAUUAGGGGCGACCAUUACUAGAAAAGAAAAUGAUGAAUGGAAUCGACCCCAGAUUGGAUCGAUUUUAUUACACUCAGAAGGAAGCUGAAUGCUUGAUGUAUGCAGGCAGCUUAUGCAUAUCUCCUAUCCGGCUAUCCCAGAACAAAUACUUACAAUGUCUAAGAUAUAGUUGGUGAUCAUAAUAUGAGGUUUUUUGGAAUGGUAGGAAGCAGAAGCACAAGAUCAUUCCUUGGCUUUCCUCUGUUUUAUUCACCAAGUUCAUACAGUGCAGCAAUUCUUCAAAUAAACCAGCAGCUAUUUGUCAGAAAUUAAAAAGUUUAAGAAGCUAGAAACGCUGAGUGACCUGGACCUGGAGGAUAACCUGAAAAUGCAUCAGCUGAGACUUGAUUUUUACUUCUAGUUUCCGAGUGGCCGAUUCUAAAAUUCAAUACAACUGUACAUGUAUCACCAAGUAAAUAAAGAGUUUGAGUGUGUUGUAAAUAUUUCAACUAUUUGAACAAUCUUUGGAUGUAAAAUAUUUUUCUAAUUGAUUCAUAUAAGAAUUUUGUAAUGGAACAUUUGGAGGAUAAAAGAGCAUGGAAUGUUCAAAACCCCAAGAACAGAUUGAAGCGCGAUUAACUCAUCUCUAAAAAUCUGAUAAGUUUUCCAGGCAAGAUGGCAAGAGUUCAUGGAGAGGUUUAAGGGUAAUGAUAUUCUCCGGUGCCCAUGGGGUAUCGGUCAGUUAUCUUGAGAAUGCUUUGUAAGUGAAACACAUAGAAACGCUUGAAGAGGUUGACAGAGUUAAAACUGGGGACGUGUACCUGCCCUGAAUUGCACUUCUUCCUUCAUCACGGAUCUGGCAGAUGUAGUACUAGAAGGUUUACCUGCAGCAACCGCCAUAUCUUCCUCAAGGAAGAUCUCCGAUGAAGACGACAAUGACUUAAUGAGAAAUGAUAUCAAAAUGUUCUUCGGUUCUAUCUUAGCAUUCGUUUUGCUGUUGUCACCAAAAAUGAUUCUUGCAUUCAAGAAUAAUCUCCUUUAAAGGCGAUUAAGAGUAGUAUGACACCAGAAUUUCCAGUAGUAGAAUAAUAGCUGAGUGUCAUAUGAGCUCUGAUUUCAGUGAUAAAAGCUCGAACGCGGUAACAUCGUUUGAUCAAAAUACCGAGAAAUACCAAGGAUUUUGUUUGUUAUACAUGAAGAUGGAGAAUUUUUUUUUUUU